rnacentral:rRNA from 1 species
CCUACGGGGGGCAGCAGUGGGGAAUAUUGGACAAUGGGCGGAAGCCUGAUCCAGCAACGCCGCGUGAGGGAUGACUGCCUUCGGGUUGUAAACCUCUUUCGUCCCUGACGAAGCGCCUGUAAGGGUGGUGACGGUAGGGGAAGAAGAAGCACCGGCCAACUACGUGCCAGCAGCCGCGGUAAUACGUAGGGUGCGAGCGUUGUCCGGAAUUAUUGGGCGUAAAGGGCUCGUAGGCGGUUUGUCGCGUCGGGAGUGAAAACAUCCAGCUUAACUGGGUGCUUGCUUCCGAUACGGGCAGACUAGAGGUAUGCAGGGGAGAACGGAAUUCCUGGUGUAGCGGUGAAAUGCGCAGAUAUCAGGAGGAACACCGGUGGCGAAGGCGGUUCUCUGGGCAUUACCUGACGCUGAGGAGCGAAAGUGUGGGGAGCGAAC